rnacentral:rRNA from 1 species
GACGAACGCUGGCGGCGUGCUUAACACAUGCAAGUCGAACGGAAAGGCCCUGCUUUUGUGGGGUGCUCGAGUGGCGAACGGGGGAGUAACACGUGAGUAACCUGCCCUUGACUUUGGGAUAACUUCAGGAAACUGGGGCUAAUACCGGAUAGGAGCUCCUGCUGCAUGGUGGGGGUUGGAAAGUUUCGGCGGUUGGGGAUGGACUCGCGGCUUAUCAGCUUGUUGGUGGGGUAGUGGCUUACCAAGGCUUUGACGGGUAGCCGGCCUGAGAGGGUGACCGGCCACAUUGGUCCUGAGAUACGGCCCAGACUCCUACGGGCGGCAGCAGUGGGGAAUAUUGCACAAUGGGCGGAAGCCUGAUGCAGCAACGCCGCGUGCGGGAUGACGGCCUUCGGGUUGUAAACCGCUUUCGCCUGUGACGAAGCGUGAGUGGCGGUAAUGGGUAAAGAAGCACCGGCUAACUACGUG